rnacentral:rRNA from 1 species
UACGGAGGGUGCGAGCGUUGUCCGGAAUCACUGGGCGUAAAGGGCGCGUAGGCGGCAGGCCAAGCGUGCGGUGAAAGUCCGGGGCUCAACCCCGGAUCUGCCGUGCGGACUGGUUUGCUAGAGCACUGUAGAGGCGAGUGGAAUUCCGGGUGUAGCGGUGGAAUGCGUAGAGAUCGGGAAGAACAUCAGUGGCGAAGGCGGCCUGCUGGGCUGUUGCUGACGCUGAGGCGCGACAGCGUGGGGAGCAAACAGG